AGAGUUUGAUCAUGGCUCAGAUUGAACGCUGGCGGCAGGCCUAACACAUGCAAGUCGAGCGGUAGCACAGAGAGCUUGCUCUCGGGUGACGAGCGGCGGACGGGUGAGUAAUGUCUGGGAAACUGCCUGAUGGAGGGGGAUAACUACUGGAAACGGUAGCUAAUACCGCAUAAUGUCGCAAGACCAAAGUGGGGGACCUUCGGGCCUCAUGCCAUCAGAUGUGCCCAGAUGGGAUUAGCUAGUAGGUGGGGUAACGGCUCACCUAGGCGACGAUCCCUAGCUGGUCUGAGAGGAUGACCAGCCACACUGGAACUGAGACACGGUCCAGACUCCUACGGGAGGCAGCAGUGGGGAAUAUUGCACAAUGGGCGCAAGCCUGAUGCAGCCAUGCCGCGUGUGUGAAGAAGGCCUUCGGGUUGUAAAGCACUUUCAGCGGGGAGGAAGGCGAUAAGGUUAAUAACCUCACCGAUUGACGUUACCCGCAGAAGAAGCACCGGCUAACUCCGUGCCAGCAGCCGCGGUAAUACGGAGGGUGCAAGCGUUAAUCGGAAUUACUGGGCGUAAAGCGCACGCAGGCGGUCUGUCAAGUCGGAUGUGAAAUCCCCGGGCUCAACCUGGGAACUGCAUUCGAAACUGGCAGGCUAGAGUCUUGUAGAGGGGGGUAGAAUUCCAGGUGUAGCGGUGAAAUGCGUAGAGAUCUGGAGGAAUACCGGUGGCGAAGGCGGCCCCCUGGACAAAGACUGACGCUCAGGUGCGAAAGCGUGGGGAGCAAACAGGAUUAGAUACCCUGGUAGUCCACGCCGUAAACGAUGUCGAUUUGGAGGUUGUGCCCUUGAGGCGUGGCUUCCGGAGCUAACGCGUUAAAUCGACCGCCUGGGGAGUACGGCCGCAAGGUUAAAACUCAAAUGAAUUGACGGGGGCCCGCACAAGCGGUGGAGCAUGUGGUUUAAUUCGAUGCAACGCGAAGAACCUUACCUGGUCUUGACAUCCACAGAACUUUCCAGAGAUGGAUUGGUGCCUUCGGGAACUGUGAGACAGGUGCUGCAUGGCUGUCGUCAGCUCGUGUUGUGAAAUGUUGGGUUAAGUCCCGCAACGAGCGCAACCCUUAUCCUUUGUUGCCAGCGGUUCGGCCGGGAACUCAAAGGAGACUGCCAGUGAUAAACUGGAGGAAGGUGGGGAUGACGUCAAGUCAUCAUGGCCCUUACGACCAGGGCUACACACGUGCUACAAUGGCAUAUACAAAGAGAAGCGACCUCGCGAGAGCAAGCGGACCUCAUAAAGUAUGUCGUAGUCCGGAUUGGAGUCUGCAACUCGACUCCAUGAAGUCGGAAUCGCUAGUAAUCGUAGAUCAGAAUGCUACGGUGAAUACGUUCCCGGGCCUUGUACACACCGCCCGUCACACCAUGGGAGUGGGUUGCAAAAGAAGUAGGUAGCUUAACCUUCGGGAGGGCGCUUACCACUUUGUGAUUCAUGACUGGGGUGAAGUCGUAACAAGGUAACCGUAGGGGAACCUGCGGUUGGAUCACCU
rnacentral:rRNA from 1 species